rnacentral:rRNA from 1 species
CACACCGCCCGUCACACCAUGGGAGUUUGUUGCACCAGAAGCAGGUAGCUUAACCUUCGGGAGGGCGCUUGCCACGGUGUGGCCGAUGACUGGGGUGAAGUCGUAACAAGGUACCC